rnacentral:sRNA from 1 species
UUUAUAUAUCCUAUCGGCUAAUCUGGUUAGUAUCGGUAGAAAUGCACCGAGGUGCUACAGAGAUUAAUGCUAGGGAUAGUCAGACCGCUUGUAUUUCUGACUAUCAAGUAAAUCUACGCCCAACUCACAUAUUUCCCAAACAAAUGUGAUUUUUUU